GAGCCUUCAGGAUGAGCAGAGGAGGCUUCCAACACCAUUUUACAGCUCCCUUGAUUAUUCUAGGAGGAGGAAUGAUUUGCUUCUUCUCCUGAUUUAGCCUAUAAUUUUCCUGUUUAGAGACAUUUGAGCAUGUUUGUACAGCUGCUAUCUGUGGUUUCUGGGAUCGAGGACAGAGGAUCUGUGCAGUAAUAGGUGAUACUCUAUAGCAGGCAAUACUACUAUGGACAACAGGAAAUAUAAGAACUUGGAGCUCCAAAUGGCAGUAUGAUGAUACCAAAAGAAUAUUGGAAGUGAGCUGAGCAGAGGCGUGGAUGAUUUAUUAAGGACCUGGCAACAAGCUCGGAUGGCUUCUAUGUGGCUCUUAUGUACCUUUGCUGAACCCUAUUGGUACUUGAGCCCCUAUACAAGUGCGGAUUAUUAUUGAGAAGGGAUGAGGAUCUGAUGACAAAGUGAGGAACCAAUGAUGUCCAGGUGUCACACUCUGCAGAGGAAGAUGUAGCUGGAAGAAGACACAGCAUCUUGGCCACAUGAAGAAAAGAAAAGACUACAGAGAAGUUGUCUCCUGAUUCCCACUCCUAGAAAGAGUAGUCACAAUGUGCCAGGCUCCAGUCCCCGCUGGUGCAGCCUACUUUCCUCAGUCACAACCAUCUCAUUGCUCCUAUAAACAGCCGCCAGCCUUCUUCGUCAGCUCCGGUCCCUAUUCUUCAUUAAAGUACUGUGGCUAAUAGUUAUACAAAUGUUCCCUGUCACAAAGCAAAUAUCCAGAACAGAGAGCUGGAGGAUACAAUGAAGUCCUCACAAAAUAUCCAGUAUAGCUAUUACGUCUGCUCCAAUUCUUCUUGCUGACGAACAGUACAUUAUCACCUGCCAUGAUGUUUAACACGUCAGAAUACAGAAUAUACUCAUUUUACAAAUUUUAUCACAUUCCAUGAAUGCAGCGAAGACGGAAAAAUAUUUUCUUAAUGAAAUUUGAUUGGGUGAUUCUUUAUUCUUAUGUCAGUUCUUUACGUAACCUCGGUAAUUACCGCUUGUUGGGGAUUGUGUCUGUAGGUAAUUGGUGGAGCCUGAUCCAGAAUACAGACAGCAGCCCACUCCACAACCUUAACAGCUGUCAUAAUUAUAUGACAUUUUCUGGUCCAGAUCUUUUCGACUCGGUAACCGUAGCAACAGACCAAGACAAGCGCCCUGUUUCUAUCUGUAUUUACUUAGAUAAAGGUCUUGUGCACCUUGUCCAUGUGUCACAUUUCA